GCCUAACGGCUGAACUGGCAACUUGGAGAAGUGGCAAGUCCUAUUUUGAUCAUAUCUUUGAAUAUGAUCUAUAGGAUUGUAUUAAAAUUGAAUAAAGCUUUGUUUAUAUAUUGAUAAUGACAGUAUAUAUAUCGUGUCUUGACUAAUUGCGUGCCAGCAGUCGCGGUAAUACGUAAGAGACUAGUGUUAUUCAUCUUAAUUAGGUUUAAAGGGUACCUAGACGGUCAAUAUAGCUUCUAAAAUGUUAGUACUUGACUAGAGUUUUAUGUAAGAGGGCAGUACUUGAGGAGGAGAGAUGAAAUUCUAUGAUACCAAAGGGACUCGGUAAAGGCGAAGGCAGCCUUCUAUGUAAAAACUGACGUUAAAGGACGAAGGCACAGAGCACAAACAGGAUUAGAUACCCAAGUAGUCUUUGCAGUAAAUGAUGAAUGCCAUAGGUUAGAUUAAGAUUUAGUAUUAUAAUUAAAAAUUAAAUAUUAAACAUUAUCUGGUCUAUAAAUGAAAGUGUAAGCAUUUCACCUCAAGAGUAAUGUGGCAACGCAGGAACUGAAAUCACUAGACCGUUUCUGACACCAGUAGUGAAGUAU
rnacentral:rRNA from 1 species